UACGUAGGGUGCGAGCGUUGUCCGGAAUUAUUGGGCGUAAAGGGCGCGUAGGCGGCUUGGCAAGUGGAAGGUGAAAUCCCUCGGCUUAACCGAGGAACUGCCCUCCAAACUGCUUGGCUUGAGACCGGGAGAGGUGAGUGGAAUUCCCAGUGUAGCGGUGAAAUGCGUAGAUAUUGGGAGGAACACCAGUGGCGAAGGCGGCUCACUGGACCGGUACUGACGCUGAUGCGCGAAAGCGUGGGGAGCAAACGGGG
rnacentral:rRNA from 1 species